GAAAUCUGGCGGUCUCAGGCCGUCCGAGUUGUAAUCUAGAGAGGUGUUUUCCGUGCCGGACCGUGUACAAGUCCCUUGGAACAGGGCGUCAUAGAGGGUGAGAAUCCCGUCCAUGACACGGACUACCGGUGCUCUGUGAUACACCUUCAAAGAGUCGAGUUGUUUGGGAAUGCAGCUCAAAACGGGUGGUAAAUUCCAUCUAAAGCUAAAUACAGGCGAGAGACCGAUAGCGAACAAGUACCGUGAGGGAAAGAUGAAAAGAACUUUGGAAAGAGAGUUAAACAGUACGUGAAAUUGUUGAAAGGGAAACGCUUGAAGUCAGUCGCGUCCGUAGGGACUCAGCCUUGCUUUUGCUUGGUGCACUUCUCUGCGGACGGGCCAGCAUCGAUUUUGGUCGCCGGAAAAGGGCGGGAGGAAUGUGGCAGCUUUUAGCUGUGUUAUAGCCUUUCGUCGUACACGGUGGCUGGGAUCGAGGACUGCAGCACGCCUUUGGUCGGGGUUCGCCCACGCCACGUGCUUAGGAUGCUGGCGUAAUGGCUUUAAACGACCCGUCUUGAAACACGGACCAAGGAGUCUAACAUGCCUGCGAGUGUUUGGGUGCAAAACCCAGGCGCGUAAUGAAAGUGAAAAGUUGGGACUCUUUAGUGAGGCACCGACGCCCGAACCUGAAGUCUUCUGACGGUUUUGAGGCAGAGCAUGUAUGUUGGGACCCGAAAGAUGGUGAACUAUGCCUGAAUAGGGUGAAGCCAGAGGAAACUCUGGUGGAGGCUCGUAGCGAUUCUGACGUGCAAAUCGAUCGUCAAAUUUGGGUAUAGGGGCGAAAGACUAAUCGAACCAUCUAGUAGCUGGUUCCUGCCGAAGUUUCCCUCAGGAUAGCAGAAACUCACAUCAGUUUUAUGUGGUAAAGCGAAUGAUUAGAGGCCUUGGGGUUGAAACAACCUUAACCUAUUCUCAAACUUUAAAUAUGUAAGAUCGGACCGUCACUUGAUUGGACCGUCUGGCGAAUGAGAGUUUCUAGUGGGCCAUUUUUGGUAAGCAGAACUGGCGAUGCGGGAUGAACCGAU
rnacentral:rRNA from 1 species